UGACAGUACUCCUACGGGGAGGCAGCAGUGGGGGAAUAUUGCACAAUGGGCGCAAGCCUGAUGCAGCCAUGCCGCGUGUGUGAAGAAGGCCUUCGGGUUGUUAAAGCACUUUCAGUCGUGAGGAAGGUAGUGUAGUUAAUAGCUGCAUUAUUUGACGUUAGCGACAGAAGAAGCACCGGCUAACUCCGUGCCAGCAGCCGCGGUAAUACGGAGGGUGCGAGCGUUAAUCGGAAUUACUGGGCGUAAAGCGCAUGCAGGUGGUUUGUUAAGUCAGAUGUGAAAGACCCGGGGCUCAACCUCGGAAUAGCAUUUGAAACUGGCAGACUAGAGUACUGUAGAGGGGGGUAGGAAUUUCAGGUGUAGCGGUGAAAUGCGUAGAGAUCUGAAGGAAUACCGGUGGCGAAGGCGGCCCCCUCGGACAGAUACUGACACUCAGAUGCGAAAGCGUGGGGAGCAAACAGGAUUAGAUACCCUGGUAG
rnacentral:rRNA from 1 species